rnacentral:lncRNA from 1 species
UAAGGUUCAUCCACGUGUACUCUUCUCAUUGGUCACCUCACAGAUCUCCCUGGCCCCACUAGAUAGACCCCUUGACACACAUCUCCACUGCUGCCUCCCCAACCAUCAAAGCUAUACAGAGAGAAAGAGAAACUGUAUUAUUGUCUGCACAGUUCUAGUUACAGAAAUUAAGAGACGGAGCGGGAAAAGGGAAAAAAACAUCUUACAAAUUACGCCGUGAAUUCAGAAAAUGGCGUCCAAGUUGUGCGACUCCUGCAAAUCGGCGACGGCAACUCUCUUCUGCCGGGCUGAUUCAGCAUUUCUAUGCG